rnacentral:lncRNA from 1 species
GGAUCUUUAAAAUGUUCUUAUGUCUAGAGAGAGACAACAUGGAUAUCUGAUAGCUUUGUUAAAUUUCUUAGCAAAAUAAAUCUUAUUUAAAUGUUUUAUCUUUAAAAUAUUUAUAUUGAAACAAUUUCAGACUAAUGUGGAACUCAUGGUACAGAAUCUAGAAAUUGCAUAUCCAUAGGCAUUAAAAAGAACUCAAGCCUGGCCCCGAGGAUAGGAAUGAGUAGGGUACUUGAAAAUAAGCAGAGGUUUCUUCAGGCAGCUAUGCAAGUAUUCAAAAUAGUGGUGAGGGUUUUACUGUCUUUGCAAAAUUGCUAAAAAGCCAUCAGUAGUAGGCUUAUAAUGAAUAAAUUUUCUUAUGUGUCUUUAUUACUUCAGUACAGCAUGUGUAAAAAACCUGAGUUUGACUCACAGCAUUGAGGGAGAAAAAGGAUUUACAAACAUGACUCAGAGAAUCCCUGUGUAAAAUUCCCUCUUAUCCCCACCACACACACCUUUGUUCUCAUUGAUAUUCUUCAGUAUUUUACAUGGUUUUUCAAGCUGUGACUUCCGACAGUGAUGAACAUUUCUGUUUGUUCCUUCUGAUUUUUAUUUCUUUGUUUUUACAUUUUUAUAUGUAUUUGUUCCAAUAUAUAUUUUAUCUUGAGCGCAUAUCCCCCACGACUCACCCCUUCUCUCUUCUCUUCUCUCCCCUCCUCCUGCCAAUCUCUUUAGUCUCCACUGAAUCAUUUAAGCCUGCACUAAUUGCACAGAACAGUGGGCUUCAUUGUGAUAUUUUCAUACAUGAAUAUUUCCUUCUUCUCCCAAGAUGAUAUCAUAUGCAAAUUAACUUUAAUGCAAUGAUCAAGGCUGAAACUUGACUUUCUACAAACCUUGGUGCUACAGUAUUCGGAUUUCACUGAAUUGUCCAUGUACAUUCUUCCUCAUCUCCAAAUUUCCAUUGUUUUUUAUUUAUUUGGUUGGUUGGUUGGUUGGUUGGUUGGUUGGUUGGUUGGUGUGUGCAUGAGAUGCAGUAUAUAGUUUAAUGAGCUUUAUUACCCAAAUAGAACCAAAGAGCCACCACCACAACCAGAAUCGUUUUUCUGUCACUACCAACUCCAAAAUAAACUUCCCUUGCCCCUCUGCUAUCUCAGCAACCAUGACUCUGGCAGCCAACAACCUGUUCUCCAUCAUCAUGGCUUGGUCAUUUGUUAAUUACAUAGAGAGUGAAGUGCAAUCACUAUGUAAUAAGUUGAGAUAGACUCUCCACCCCCAACUCCAGGGUAAUGUUCUUCUCUCAAGAGCCAUUCAAGUUAUUGUUUAUCAGUUGUUUAUGAUUUUUUAUUACCAUGAACUAGAUGGAAAUAAGUGUCUAGAUGUCCAACAAUGUCUCUACUAUGUAUGGAGGUUUUUGGUUUGGUUUGUAUUUGGAGCUUUGAGCACUUACUUACACUGAUUUUUUUAAAAAUAUAUGCUAAGUUUCAAUUUCUUUAGCAUAGACACUAAAGAUCAGGACUGCUCAGUGGUAAGAUGUUUGGCUUAGGAUGACCAGCAGUCUCAACUAACCCAGACCCCUCAGAUCUCUGACACUGAGCCACCAGCCAGGCAACAUACAUGAGCCUGUCUGAGGCCCCCUGACACAUAUACAGCAGGGGACUGCCUGGUCUGGCCUCAGUGGAAAAAGACAUGUGUAAUCUUCCAGAGACUUGAGUCCCCAGGGACUGGGGAGGCCUGGCAGAUGGAGCAGGGAUAGAUAUCCUCUUGGAGGCUGAGGGGAGGAAGAAUGGGAUGAGGAACUGAGGGAAGGCAGACCAGGAAGGGCGGGGGCAAUGGCUAGAUUG